ensembl:lncRNA
UGACUACAAUGUCAUUAUAGUCCCUGUUGGUGUAAUGGUCAGGCAUUCGAAUACUUCUGUCCAUAUAGUGUAUAUCUGUAUGUCGUUUCAGUCAUAUGUUACUUGGUGAGAUACUUUUCAAACAAUGUUUUACUCCAGGUGUUAUUAAUUUAGCACAAGGACCUUAAAAAUGCUCUUUUUGAAUAUGUACAAAAGACCAAACAAGAUACAGGACAUACUUGCAAUGUUCUGCCCCUAAAGUUCAUCUGGUACUAAAAAAAUGUUUGUUGUUGUUGUUGUGCUGUGUUUGUUUGUUUCAACAGAGAGGUUAUAGGUUAGAUGUGUGGAAAGUCCCUAUGAGACAUUUGCAGAAGUGUCUGAGGUAGUGCUUGCACGUGCGUGUUUAUGGUUAAGCGUUGCAACAGUUGGCACCACUCGUAUGCCUCUCAGAGUAACCUGUUUUCGUGAGUUCUCAUGUGAAACAAACGCUGCCCUGAGCUCUUUCAUAAGACUGAAGUGAGGCAAGGGCUUCACCUCUCAAACUCAACAGGCAAAACACCCUUGUGUUUUUUUUUUUUUUGGUCUUGCCUCACUCACUCAUUUUUUUUCUUGUUUUCUUACUUAAACCUCUUAUGAUCUCUUCACGCCAUUCCUGUAGCAAAGCACAAUUUGGAGGUUAUAAUCCUUAACUACUUCUGAAUGAUUUGAUAUGUUAUUUUUCUGUUAGUGAGGUUUGAGUCAACAAGACACAACAGACCUCUGUAGUCCCUCUCGGCCGAGGCAGCCUGGUCCCAUGGGAGACAGCGAGAUACGAGGGGAGAGUCCCUGCAGUCUUUUCAUGUCCAACGUUGAGUUUCACUCGUCUUGGUUUUGUUUAUUGAGAUUGAGAACAUUUAAUUAUUCCAUUUUGGUGGACUUUGUAGCUAGCCGAUUAAUUCCUCUCUAAAGUAGGCUACUGAGCUGAAAUCACCCAAAUAAUGACAACAAUAGCAUUUCCCCUUUGUUGUUGACAGAUUUAGUGAAGAAACCAGUAGUAUUGUUGCUUUUAUAAGUU